UACGAAGGGGGCUAGCGUUGCUCGGAAUCACUGGGCGUAAAGGGUGCGUAGGCGGGUCUUUAAGUCCGGGGUGAAAUCCUGGAGCUCAACUCCAGAACUGCCUUUGAUACUGAAGAUCUUGAGUCCGGGAGAGGUGAGUGGAACUGCGAGUGUAGAGGUGAAAUUCGUAGAUAUUGGGAGGAACACCAGUGGCGAAGGCGGCUCACUGGACCGGAACUGACGCUGAGGCGCGAAAGCGUGGGGAGCAAACAGG
rnacentral:rRNA from 1 species